AAAUGUAUUAAACUGUAGAGUGUAGGCGCUUAAGGAUUUUGUUUUUAUUUUUAUUGAAAAAUUUUAAAAUUUGAACAUGUACGCUUUCUGCAUUUACGAUUUAUAUGUAACACAUAUUAUACAUUUUCUCAUAAAUUUUUUCUCAUGUUUAGUUCUAGUUAUCAGGAGUAUUUGAGUUAUGUAUAUAGUCUAAUGCACAUACGUCCGUGAAGUUGGCUUCUAUAUGGUCCAACAUAGAUACUUCAUUUUAGUAUAAAGACUUUGCAAUUUGUACUCUUAUGUAACUUAUUGCAUGUCUUACGAAACUCGGUGCACACACAAAUUAAAUUGAGUUUAAUAAUAAAAUGUAAACAAAGAGCUGUGAUGGAGUUAUAAUAUUGUAAACGUUAAAAUAAUUAUUGUAUUUGCGUAGUGAUUGUUUAAA